GCGGAGGUAGCUCAGCCUGGUAAGGCGCAUGACUGGAAAUCAUGUGGGGGCAACCCCCCGGGAGUUCGAAUCUCCCCCUCCGCG
rnacentral:tRNA from 1 species